rnacentral:rRNA from 1 species
CGACUUUCAGCAAUGGAUGUCUUGGCUCCCACAACGAUGAAGAACGCAGCGAAAUGCGAUACGUAAGCGAAUUGCAGAGUCCAGCGAGUCAUCAAAUGUUCGAACGCACCUGGCGCUUUCGGGAUAUUCCUGGAAGCAUGCUUGUUAGAGUGUCUGUU